AUGGCAUCAGAAGGGAGUGCCAGGGAGACCUUGACUCCCUCUAAUUCCUCCUCCAUGUUACAGAUGAGGAAACUGAGGCCUGGGGAGCUCAUGGCAGAGGAGACCUUGCUGUUUCACUCCAUCAGGUUGGCCAACAUGGACUCAGCACCUUCCUGCCAGGAGUGUAACUUGUGCUCCACAGAGCGCCUGGGGGAAACUGAAGCUGGCCUCUUUCUGCCCCGUGGGAUGGCGAGCCCCUCGGCAGACACAUCCCUGCUCUGCCUACCCAACAGGCUCGUUGGGGUGGGGACCUUCCUAGGCAUACUCCAUUCUUCCCCGCCUUCUCCAAAAGCGGCUGAGCAUGACUUCAUCUUUACUCGAUGUCCUAGGGCCACUAUAAAAUGCAAAUGAUCGAGCUGAGGUUUAGUACAGAGGUGUCCUCCGGGCUAUGAGGCAUGUUUAGCUAUUUGCCCUACACAGACAGAGCCAGGCUUUCUUCCUCAUAUUUUAUCUUGGUCAUUGACAGAGUGUCAGCUGUCACUUAUGUCAGGGGCCCUUCUCUCUCUCUUUUUUACAACAGUGAAUCUGUUAGAUACCGACAUGUCUACACUGUGUAGAAACUGAGUCUAUCAUCUCUGAGCACAGGGUUCCCUUAUGAAUGAAAUACAUGGUAGAAUCCAUCAUGGCCACUCAGAAGCCUUUUUGUCUCCAGCACUUAUUACCAUGUGACCCAGUUCUAGACCAUGAAACAAGGAGAAAUUUGCCGAGAAAGGAAACAUAAGGGGCAUCUGGGAAAGUAGACAUAGUCAGCAUCACCCUGUCUCCUUCUUCCUGCCUUGAAAGAGGAUGUGAUGACAGGAAUUGCAGUAGCCACAUUGCGACCAUGAGGUAGAGGCCAAAAGAAGUGCAGUGACACCAGUCCUGACAUCAUUGAGCCACUGAACUAAUGCUAACAGCAGUCUGCCUGUGUGCUUCUUGUAAUAUAAUACAAAUACCUAUUUGUUUAAGUUACUGUUAGUUGGAUUUUCUGUUAUUUGCAGCUCAAAGUAUUCUUUAAGAAUGAGUCAUCUCACUCAUGCAGAAUUCUGGCAGUGCAAGGGAUCCUGAAAAACAAGAAACAGGGGUGUCCUGAUUAGUUUAGACCAAACAUCACAUCUCUCCUGGGACUUACCACCCCGUCUCUCCCUGCCCUCACCUCCCACCCAGGGUUCUGCUGGUGAGGAAGAUGGGGAAAUGGAUAUUGGGUCAGCAGCUAACAUUGUGUAUUGCAGUAAGUAUCAUCACUCUUUUUUUUUUUUUGUCUUAACUAGGAAAUUCUGAUUGCAAGUGACAGAAACCUGAAUGAGACUAGCUUAAGCAGAAAUAACUGAACACAUAGAGGAAUUGAUAGAAAGAAAAUGGAAAGGAAAUAAAAGAACUGGACUGAUUCA
rnacentral:lncRNA from 1 species